CAACAAACAAGUUAGAAAGAGGCAAACAAGAAACAGAAAUUUUCUUUUUUAAUAGGGAGAAAAAAAUUACACUGAUAAUUGCCUAAAAAUUAUAUUCAUUUUCCAAGUGAAUAAAUGAGGCUUAUUUGAUAUCACACGAGUACAUAGUAUUUCUUCUCAAAAACGCUUAAAUUUUAUAUUUUAAAAAUAUGCACAAAUAUAAUGGAAUCAAAGUAGUUUAAGACUGUAAACAUUUUAACCUGAAAAUACUUCAGUUUAAAAUCCUAAUUUGAGAAGUCCUUUCUCCACAUGGUUGUAUACCUUGAAGGAAACUGUGAACACAGGUCGCAAACCAGUCUCUGUCCUGGAAAUGAGUGAGUGAUAUUGAUCUAUACCCAGUCACUGAUUAUGCGAAGUCUCUAAUGACACCUUCACAGCUUUUAUAAUCCAGUGGUCCAACAAAGCAUGAAUUUCAAAUACUUUACAAAAUCUUCCCUCCUGAGCAUCUCUUUUUUUAAUUAAAGAAUAAAAGGAGUGAUUGUUCAACAUGAUUUCAAUGAAAAUGAAGACUUGAAUUUGUGGGUGUGUGCAAUGUUGAAAAUCAAAAGGAAAAAGAUGCAGCACAAAAAAAUCCUUCGCACAACUAAUCAGAUGACAAAGGUUUUGAUCAGCGCGCAAGAACCAAGUGCUUUUCUUUGCUAAACGUAAAACAACGUUUGUCCAAGACUACGAUUUCAUACAAUGUGCUUCUCAUCCCACCUUAAGUUGUUUCUCUUUUAAACACUAAUUUUUGCUAUCUACUGCUUCAACAUUCAGAAGAGCCUGCCUCAGGAGGCACAAAAGCUCUGUAAUGCUGGGUUAAAGCUGGCACUUUAUCCUUAACUCACCUCAUUAAGUCUGGAUUUUAUUCGUCCUCAAAGACGUGGCUUGGAGAUAGAAUUCUAACCCCCUUAAAUUAGAAUUUUCUGGCUUUUGUCACUUUAAACCAGAUCCUUAAUGUUAUUAAAAGGUGGGCAUGUUGUUGUUUUUCCCCUUUUGGGGGAAGGGGUAGGGAGAAGAAUUUAAUGUUAUUUUUAACGGAACUAUCUUGUUAACCUUGGGGGACAUCCCCGGAGCUGAAACCCAUUGGAGUAAUAAUAGCUCAGCGACUCACUCCCUGCAGACAGCUCUGCCGAGUCAGUCUGGAAAAGCUCUUUAAAAGCACAGUCUCUGCUGGCCCUUUUCUUUUGGUUUCUGUGGAAUUUUUCUUGGUAACAAUUUUUAGCUGAGGGGGUUAUGGACAAUUGUAAACUGGAAGCAUUGAAAGGAGGAGGUGGGGAGGGAGGCUGCUUGCUGCACUAAUUAAAACAAAGCCUGCUUGUAUAAACUGCAUCCCCCCUGGUGCAAAGGGGCAAACAGCACAAGGGCCUCUCAGAGCACACAGCUCUGGAUACUGCAGGGACUUAUAUUUUUAAAUACAAUUAAAAGUAAUGCCCCUUUGUUGAUUAUACUCUCCUUGCCAAACUUGAGGACGGCUGAAGCUGCCAAACAUUUACUUUUAAAUUUAGUGUGCCCAGCAGCCUUCCAAAUGCUGUCAGUUUCACAGAAGGCAGGGCAGUCUGUGAUUAACAGCUUCCCAAGAUACCAGUAAGUUGCUUGGACAAUAUUUCAAAUGGAUGCUGGUUCUGACACUGAGGAGAUCAAGCCGGAAUUUGGUGUCACUUUGGGGUUUAGAAGGAGGUGGGAUUGUUCUUACCUCUUGAUAGUACACAAGUUUGAAAGUGGAAAACAUUACCAAAGCAAACUCCUCAAUUACACAUGUGCAAGCAGCAGAGAGUAUCUGGUCCAGACCUAACUAAAAAAAACUUGUCAAAUGAAAGAGAAAUGCACAAACAUGCCUGUACUUUGUCCUCUGAAUUUUAAAAGCAUCUAAUGUUACAUAGCUCAUGUGAACUUUAAAGCACGGCCAUCCAUGAAGGAUUCCCUUUAUGGUUUUAGUGGUUGUCCUCUUUCCUUGCUGUUCACAACUAUGAUUAUUUUAUAAACCCUUUUGUAGCUGGGUUUAUUUGAUUUAACCUUUUAAAUGUAGCUUCGUUUCUGACAAUACAGGAAAUAUAACGCCAAAAGAAACUCUGUAGAGAAGAUGGAUGAGAGAAUCAGACACACAAUUUGAAAUGAGAUGUCCUGGGAAGACAACAAACUUAUUUGGGACUUUCUUGAUUUUUCCAGUGUGACUGUCUAUAAAGCUGAAUGCCAAGUUUUGAUUCCUAGGUUUUAUGUGGUUGCAUAGGUAACAAACUAAUACUUGGCGAGGUGUUCUUUUUUUUUUCUUUCUGAUGAAAAAUGCAGGCUUGAAAAACAAGGUGCAGCAUCCGUUUUCAAUUAAAAAAAAUAAAAAUUUAAAACCUCUCCCUCUGGGCCUGGUACUGAGCCAGGUAAGAAAAUGAGAUGGGUGUGGUCACUAAGAAAGCAAUAAGAUGAAAAUACUCUUCUGCUUGAAGUAGCUUUAUAUUUUAGUGGGUUUUCCCUCAUUCCAAUAAAGAAAGUUACACUAUGCUAUCACUUUAUUUUUAAAUAUUUUCUUUUAAAAUCCAUUUCCUUUGAAUUUUUGCCAAUUCUCAAGGACGCCGCAUUUGACUUCUAUUUUCUCUGUGCAUCUCUGAUUUCUGUUCGAUCCCACAGGAGUAAAUAUUUGACAUCCAGCCAUUCCCAGGGGUGGCAGAGCAAUGUACUAAACACAGAGACGUUUCACUUCACCAAGAAAUGAAGUCAGGCUCCAGGGGAUAAACAGCCAUCCAUAAAUAACCUCUCAGAAGUAGCCUAAGGAACGUGUCCUGCAAAGAAAUCCUGGCUCAGUACAUUCUAUUUUGUUUAUUUUGCAUAAAAGUUUUCUUUGUCUAGAUUUGCACCAGCAUGAAAACACUUCCAGCAAAAUACAGUUAAUACAACACAAAACCAAGUAGAAAAAAAGAAAAAAGUCCCACCUGAAAGAAAAUUGACUGUUGCCCUUUGAAAUGCCAAGAGAAAACAGACUUACCUGACAUUCUAAUGACUUUAAAAAGUGGUGAGAAGAGGAAAAGAACAUGAAGGGAAUUUCAUGCCAGGUGACAUCAAGGCAGAGAAGACAUCUUGCUUAACAUUUUGGAUUCAAGGGAAUGAGGUACACUACUAGUCUGUGAUCCCAUACCUCACAUAAAAUAAAAAUUUAACUCAGAAUAAAACAUAGACCUAAAUGUAAGAGCUAAAACUAUGAAACAUCUCUAAAAACUAGAAGAAAAUCUUCAUUGUUUUGAGUUAGGCAAAGAUUUCUUAGGUCACAGAAGGCACAAACCAUUAAAGAAAAUAUUGGUAUAUUUAUUUAACUUCAUGAAAAUGUAAAAACUUCUCAAAGACAUCGUUAACAGAAAUAAACGGACAAGUCACAGACUGGGAGAUAAUAUUUGCAAAGCACCUAACUUCUGAAGACUUGUAUCCAGAAUACAUAAAGAACUAUUGUGACUAAAGGAUACAAAAAAAAAAAAAUUAAAGAGGAGCAAAGAUUUGAACAGACACCGUACCAAAGAAGUGAUACAGCUGGCAAAUAAGGACAUGAAAAGAUACUAAAUAUCAUUAGUCAUUUGGUAAAUCAAAACCAAAACCACAGUGAGAUACCACUACAUUUCAACUUGAAUGGCUAAAAUCAAAGACAGGCAAUACCAAGUUCUGGGAGAAUGUGCAAGUGCAAAAUGGUAUAGACACUUGGGAAAACAGUUGGGUAAUUUCUUGAAACUUUACACAUACUCCUACUAUAUAAUUCAGUCAUUCUGCUCCUAGAUAUUUACAUAUAUGACUACACAAAAUUCUGUAAGUAAAUGCUUACAGCAGCUUUAUUCAUAAUAACCAACAAGCGAAUACAACACAAAUAUCCAUUAACUGAUGAAGAAUAAAGAAAUUGUGAUAUAUCCAUACAAUGGAAUAAUAUUCUGCAAUAAAAAAAUAAACUACUGAUACAAGCAACAACAUGAAUGAAUGUCAAAAGCAUUAUGCCAGUGAAAGAAGACAGACACAAAAGGCUAUAUAUUGUAUGAUCCCUUUUAUGAUAUCCUGGAAAAGGCAAAACUGUGAGGCACAAAGCAGAUAAGGAGAUGCCACGGGAUGGUAGAGAUGAAGAUAUUGACUUCCAAGGUGCCAUAUAAGGGAAUUUGGAGGGAUGGUAGAAAUCUGUAUCUUGAUAAUGAGGCUGGUUACAUGACUAUAAACGUUGAAAACUCAAUGUUCAUGCUAAAAAGAAAAUUAGUCGAGAGUAAAAGAGAAUUGGGCAGCUUAAAAGAGAAUUUGUAAAGUAGAAGAUUGUUCUGAACCAAGAAUAACAAUGCAGCAUAUGGAGUUUCACAGAUAGAAAAUUUCAAAAAGCAGUUAACAGAUAAUUAGGGUAACAGAUAAUAGUCUAACAUAUAGUCAAUAGGGAUUCCGAAAGGAAAGACUUAGAGAAUGUUGAAAGAAAAUUACUAUCAAAUAGCUAAAUUAUCAUUCAAAUGCACUAGAAAAAUACAUUUUCAAUGAAAUAAAAAAUUAAGUAAUUUAUCCCUAAUAGAUCACCCUAAGAAUACUAAAGGAAGAAAACUGAACCAGAAGAAAGGAGUGAAAUGCAAAAUAAUAAUAAUAAUAUCAGGCAUAGAAGUUGGUAAGCAUGUGAGUAAGUCUAAAUAAUAAUCUACUAUAUAAAAUAAUUACUAUUUUGGCAGUGUAAAGCAUGAUAGAAACAAAAUACUAGACUAUAGUCACAUGUAAAAUGGAAGUAAAGUAAAUAAUCCAAGUGAAAGCAUUUAAAUAUUCUUUCAUUUUUGGGAAGAGGCUAGAGACAUUUUCGAUUUUAUUCAUUCAGAUACGCUUCUUCAGCUUUCACUGACAGUACAGAAAAAGAGUAUAUACAUAUCAAAUAAGUAGAAGAACAAAAGCAAAUUAAAGCCUAAUCAAUCCACUGGUUGUUACAGGGGUUGAGGGAAAGGAGGCUCUCCCCAAGUCUCCAUUCUCCAGUGCUCCCUUAAGAACAGUUACGAGUAACCAUAGGCUUAGAGGGCCACAUUCUGUAGUCGCCAUUAUUAGUUAGCCAGGGGCUAAAUUCUUGCUGGUAAAAAGUAAGCAGUAGUUGUCGGAUGGGAAUUCCAAGGAAGCUCUUUAAAUCACUGUCCAACAGAAAUAUAAAGUGAGCCACACAUGAAAACUUGAUAUGUAAUUUAAUUUUUUCUAGUAGCUGCCUUAAAAAAGUAGGAAGAGACAGGUUAAUUUUUUUAAUUUAAUUUUAGAGAUAGGGUCUUGUUCUGUCACCUAGGCUCAAGUGCAGUGGCGCUAUCAUAGCUCACUGCAGCCUUGAAAUCCUAGCCUCAAGCAAUCCUCCUGCCUCAAUCUUCCAAAGUGCUGGGAUUACAGGCUUGAGUCACCAUGCCUGGGCUAUUAAUUUGAAUAAUGUACUUUAUAUAAACCAAUAUAUCCAAAAUAUUAUUUCAACAUGAAAUCAAUAUAAUAAAUGGUUAACUUCCAUAUUUUUUGUAUGAAAUCUUGAAAUUCUGGUGUGCAUUUUACACUUUCAGCACAUUUCAGUUCAGGCUAUGCCCAUUUCAAAUGCUCAAUAGCCACAUACAGCUGGUGGCUAUCAUAUUAGGGAGCAGAGUUUUAAAUGGACAAGUAUUUUGUGUUCUCCUGCCUGUCUUCUUUUUCUGAAAUGCAAUACAUUUGUGUUGGCUGGAACUUCAGCAACUCUCCUAGACUCUGAGUUUCCUUGAGGUCAGAAGCUAUGGAAGCUGAAUUCUGGAUGCCUUUGUAAUCCACUUAGCAGCCACAGGCUGCCAAAGUCUGGAUUUCUUUUACAUGGCUAUAAUAAUAUCAGACAAUACAAACUAUGCCAAAAGUCAUUCAUAGUGAUGAAAAGGGCCAAUAGAUAAUAACAGGAAGAUAGGGAGACAGUACAGUAUAUUGGUAAAGGGCAUGUUUUUAGGAACCAUAAUAUCUAGGUACAAAUCCUGAUGUCUCCAGGUACUGAGAACUUGAAUAAGUUAUUUAAGCUCUCCAAACUUUUCCUCAACCAUAAAAUUGGGAUAGUAACACCUCUCUCAGAGUUAUUGUAAUGACUAAGUUAAUGUAUGUAACAUAUUUAGAUUAUGUGAGUUGCACAGUAAUUACUUUGUAAGAGUCAGCUCUUGUUAAAUCUUUAGGAAAAUAUAAUAAUUCUAAACUUGUAAACACUUAACAAUGUAAACUUCAAAUAUAUAAAGCAAAAUUGGCAAGAUCAUGCAGAGUGGUUGAUAAAUCCACACUCCUAGUUCAAGAGUUUGAUACUUCUCCCAGUGACUGACAAAUAGAGCAGACAAAGAACAAAAAAAAGUGAAUAAAUAAAUGUGAUUAGUGUGCCUUUGACAAGCUUUAAAUUUGGUGGCCUUCAAAUUUUAAACUGGGCUGCUUGACAGCUAUCACAAAUAUGAAAACAUAUCAGUUAGGAUAAUUUUUAUUACUGGGAAAAAAGAACACUAUUUUCUUAGGUUUACUAUGCUACUUAUAUUUGAGGAAUUAUGAAACAUCUAUGUGCUCAAUUUUUUAGUUUCCUCCCAUUCUAU
rnacentral:lncRNA from 1 species